AGUGAACGCUGGCGGUAGGCCUAACACAUGCAAGUCGAACGGCAGCACAGUAAGAGCUUGCUCUUACGGGUGGCGAGUGGCGGACGGGUGAGGAAUACAUCGGAAUCUACUUUUUCGUGGGGGAUAACGUAGGGAAACUUACGCUAAUACCGCAUACGACCUACGGGUGAAAGCAGGGGAUCUUCGGACCUUGCGCGAUUGAAUGAGCCGAUGUCGGAUUAGCUAGUUGGCGGGGUAAAGGCCAACCAAGGCGACGAUCCGUAGCUGAUCUGAUAGGAUGAUCAGCCAGACUGGAACUGAGACACGGUCCAGACUCCUGCGGGAGGCAGCAGUGGCGAAUAUUGGGCAAUGGAGGCAAGCCUGAUCCAGGCAUACCGCGUGGGUGAAGAACGACUUCGGGUUGUAAAGCCCUUUUGUUGGGAAAGAAAAGCAGCAGGUUAAUACCGCGCUGUUCUGACGGUACCCAAAGAAUAAGCACCGGCUAACUUCGUG
rnacentral:rRNA from 1 species